CAGAGAAUAAGGAAGAAGAGAAGGACAUCAGCCAUCAAGCCUAGCAAUGAGACUAAGGGUUUAAUGAGUUCUGUAGAAGUGUGAGAACUUGUGUUGGAAACAGCAAGCCUCACAAACAUAGGCAAUGAGGGCAACAAAGGAAAGAUAAUGUACUGAACAACUUCAAAAGCCAUAGGUUUAUGAGAGCUACCCUAUUGAGUCAGACCAAUAGUUUCUGUCAGAAUUCUGCCUCUGAUGCUAGUUAUUAUUACAGGAUAUGACAAAACGAAUAAUUGUCAAUGUCAUGGGAUGUAGAAAAUAUCAAACUGUGAGUACUAAAAAAGAACCAAGGGAGUGGGAUUCCUGUAAGAUGAGGAUCAGUUAAGAAAUGACAGUUGGAGAGACAACCAUUUUUCCAGAGAGUUGAAAGUUGUUUGAAAGAGGGAUAUAUGUUCAUGGCACUUCUGGAGGUGAGACGGACAUGGAAAAAUACACGAAAGAAAUGAAUAAAUAUCAAUAUUCUCUGAAACUAGGACAGGACACUAGUUACUUUUCUCCAAGCAGAGUCCACAACACCUGAAACUGCUGGCAUCAGCUGACCCACAUAAAGCUAGUCUCUCCCUUCCUUGUUGGUUUAUUGUCUAAGCAGUUUUGUCAAGGAUCCUGAUAAACAUGUUUAAUCUGCUGGCUC